rnacentral:lncRNA from 1 species
GUGUACUUUGGUUCCUGCCCGCUGGAGGUCGGUCCUGGUUCUAAAGCGACCCUGUGACCUGUCUCCCUGUGCGCGUGCACUCCGCGGUACAGUCUCGUCUGCGUAUAGUCGUGGGAAGGAAAGAGGGGCUCCAGCGUCUCCCUGAGAGGCUGAGGGAGCGAGGAACCGCCGAGCCCUCCUUCCCCUGCUCGGCGGGCCCUGGCUGCAGCUAGCAGCUCUCCACCAUGCCCGGGGGCGUACCCUGGUCCGCCUACUUGAAAAUGCUUUCCUCCAGCCUCCUGGCCAUGUGAGCCGGGGCCCAGGUGGUGCAUUGGUACUAUCGGCCUGACCUGACAAUACCUGAAAUCCCACCAAAGCCUGGAGAACUCUAAAUGGAGCUUUUGGGACUGAAAGAGAGACGCCACGAACCUCAUGUUUCACAGCAGUAGAAACUUAAAAAUAACAGCUGUGCCAAGAAUUCUGUGAAUAAUGUCUUAAAUAUGUAUUUUAAACUUUAUUAAGUAAAACUACUUCUUAAAACACUUAAUUUAGGGGGCUCAAUGGCUCAGAGGUUAAGAGCACUGUCUGCUCUUACAGAGGUUCUGAGUUCAAUUCCCAGCAACCACUUGGUGGUUCAUAACCAUCUAUGAGUUGUACCCUGUUCUGGCCUGCAAGCAGAAUGCUGUAUACAUAACAAAUCUUAAUAUUUUUUUAAAGAUAGUCUUACUAUACAUUCUAGGCUCACCUAGAACUUGCUAUGUAGAUCAGGCUGGCCUCUAGUUCACAGGAUCUAUAGGUCUCUACAAAAAGGUCUUGCUGUGUGUGUAGCCCAUGCUGACAUCAAACUAAGAGUCCUUCUGCUUCCACUUCCCAAACAGUGAGAUUACAGGUGUAAAGGACCAUGCCUGGUCCAGUGUCUCUUAAGAACCGCCUAAGAGCAUCUCUAGCGUUUGACUAGGUAGGUGACUUUCAAUAUCACAGGAGACCAUUUGCAGUGGCUCCCUCAAUUAUGAUUCUUCUCUGAACUUGAUUAUAAUGGCAAGUUGUAAAUUACAUAAAAUAAAAUAAAAUCAUUGGGGGUAGGGGCCUGGAGAGAUUGCUCAGCAGUUAGGAACACUGACUGCUCAGCAACCACAUGGAGGCUCACAACCAUCUCUAAUGAGAUCUGAUGCCCUCUUCUGGUGUGUCUGAAGGCAGCUAUGCUGUACUUAUAUAUAAAUAAAUAUUUUUUUAAAAAUCAGUGAUAAUACUUAUAGGGUCUAAGAUAUAACUAAAUACUGUCUGUACUAAACUGUAUAAAAAUAUUUAAAGUUCAAGUUAUUUGGGAUUGUGUACCUAAUGGAAAUACAACAUUGGUGAUUUAGCUUGUCAAGAUAAUUAAACCCCCAAAUUUGAGAAAGUUAAAAUUGACAUUUUCUUUGUACAUAGAAGCUGAGUUUAAGUAUGUCCCUAAAAAUAUAAUUACUUAACCCUCAGUGCAUGUGACUGUAGAAUGAGGCCAUGAGGGGGGCCUAAUGCACUGUGAGCAUUAAUGCCAUGAGAGAAAUGAAGGAAAGACACUGAAGAGGCAGGGGCUGGGCUAUUGGAACUGAAAGCACUGAAGGCCUCCACCCAAAGCCUGAAAAAGGAAGGAAGGAAGAAUACUACACACAAGGUCUUCAGAACUAAUGGCACAGCUUGUCAGGCCUAGUUUUCAACAUAAAUAAGCUGUAGGAAAUGAACUUGUUUCAAGAUUGUGUCCAACCUAUAAAUAUACAAAAGUAAACAGAUUUUUAAAGACUUA